rnacentral:rRNA from 1 species
UACGUAGGGGGCUAGCGUUGUCCGGAAUCAUUGGGCGUAAAGCGCGUGUAGGCGGUUCGGUAAGUCCGCUGUGAAAGUCGGGGGCUCAACCCUCGGAAGCCGGUGGAUACUGUCGGGCUAGAGUACGGAAGAGGCGAGUGGAAUUCCUGGUGUAGCGGUGAAAUGCGCAGAUAUCAGGAGGAACACCGGUGGCGAAGGCGGAUCUCUGGGCCUUACCUGACGCUGAGGCGCGAAAGCUAGGGGAGCGAACAGG